ensembl:lncRNA
AAACACCCUCACAGACACACCCAGAAUAUGGUGGAUGUCUGGGACUCCCCCCCCGCCCCCGGCCCCGGGCGCCCCUGGUUGACAUUCCAUACGUGCACUAUAAGCGUAUCCCCCGUCUCACCUCAUUACUCCUCACGCCACCCUGCGGGGUAGGUGCCACCGUUCACAGGUAAGGGUCUAGGUAUAGAGGGUUAGCUAUGCAGCUGAGAAGUGGCUGCCGUGGGGUUCCACACAGAGCCACCCCACAACCUGCUGGAGUUCAGGCUGGUCUGGAAAUUCCUCGGGGAGUCAGCUCCGCUUCCCCAGUCCACCGGCCCCACAGCCAAACUAACCGCGAAGAAUUCCUUCGCUCUCCCCUCCUCUUUGGUGUCCACCAUGGCCUUCUCCGCUGCCUGGGGACCAGCCACCGGGCGCGGAGGACCCGCAGCGCGCGCGGCGCCCGCACCUCCCAGUGUGAAUGGCGCAGCGCCGCCCGGUUCGCGUCGCUCAGACGCCCGGGCCUCGCGGGACCCACACUCCGGGCGGACGGGUCGGUGGUGAGUUCAGCCUCCGUCCGGUGAGUGUGCGGACCCCGGGCCGCGGACCGGGCCGCCCGGCAGCACGCGCUCCCGCCGCCUGGGUCAGUGCGCGCCGCCUCUGAGCCGCGCAAACCACAGCCUCGGGGCCUCCGCGCAUCGCCCCCGAUUGUGCCGUGUGUGCCCGCGAUCACCUCUCCGCCGUCCUCCCGGUGUGUGCCCCAUAAUCUUUCCAGGGUUUAGGGCCUGCACAGUCUGUGCCCGCCCCGCGCUGGGCGUUGUUGAGAGCUUGGCUGAGGGCGGAGGCCGGGGAGGAGGGGGCCACACAGAGUGCCCCGUGGGCCCUGCUGUGUAGACAGCCAGGCUGAGGGAGGAGCUGCCAAACCAGGAGGAAAGGGCAUUUAAUUAAGACGGAGGAGAGGAGGUCGUGAUGGCCCAGGGGAGGGGAGCAGUCCGGGCAAGCCGAGGUCAGUAAGCUGUCCAGAGACAUCCGCCAGCUUCAAGGGAAAGAGACACAGGCCAGCACCUCUGAUUGUGGCGUCUGUUCCUGCUGCAGCACAGCGUCGUCUGCUUCAACUGUGAACACAGGCCCUGCUGGCCAGUCGCGAUGUUCAACCAGAGAACACGAGUGCAGCAUCUACUCACCCUUGAGCCUGCCGCAUGAAGAAGCAGUGUGUGGUCUGGACCAUCAGCAGAACUAACUUCACCGUCCUCCAGAAAUGCGGAACUCGGUGGGCAUGCUGCUGUGACCACAUCUUGGAUACACCUGGCCAGAAAUUAAAAUAGUACCCUAAAAGUCAAAUCCCCCUUGUAAGCCAGGCUCACAAUAAAAAAGCCGUGAGCUAGUGGUCAGCUAGUGUAGAAACAGCUGGAACAGUGUGUUGAUGCCAAGUUCAUUUUCAUCACACACACAUGCACGUGCGCACACACACACGCACGGCUUAGAAAAAAAGUACCAGAGUUGCUCCUGUGUGUCCGAAUCACAGCAAGGAAAUAAAUAUUACUGAAGGUUUUUGAACCAGAGGUGAAGCCAUUAGUGAGAGUCAAAUGGCAGGAGCACAAAGCCCCUUCACAAUGGAAAGGAGUGGCUGUCAGCGGGAGGAAUGUUCUGGAGAAGAAAGGGAAGAGAAAGGCGAAGCCACGCUUGGUUGACAAGAGGCCGUGGUGACUGAUGGCCUGGAGCAGUGCGUUGUGGAGCGUCCUCGAGAACAGAGAAGAUGCGGCUUCUGCAAAGGCCGCAGAGCAGAGUCAGAGCCGAGCACAUCCUGCACGGCGCUCCACGGCGAGUCAGGCAAAACCAGCGUCCUGGCGCCGGGACGGUAGUCAAAGCUGAGUGAAGGACAGUCGAGCGAUUAAAAUGCAUUUCACUGCUAAUUCACCACCAACGAGUCGGCCGCCUUGUUGCACUGUCCAUCCACCAACUGAGGCAUCGAGGCCUGACCCCUGUUCAAGGUCAGGCUCCCUGCUGCACAUUCAGUCAGUGGGCAGCAGUCCAGUGGCUACUCCACGAGCCCAGCACUGGAUCCACGAGGUGUGGAAGCGCCGUCUGCAUUUCACAGGUGAGCAGACGAGGGCUCGCGUGUGCACUCCCACGGCACAGUUCAGCUCAGGCCUCCAACCUCAGGCCCAACACGAGAGAGCUCCGAGGAAGCCCUGCCCUCCGCCCUCCUCGGGCCCCGCUGGAUUUGGGGGCUUUCUCUAGAGCUUUGGUGACUGAAUCCUUUGUCUCCCAAGUGGGGCACUUUAGAGAACAUGGGGGUCUACUAAGAAUCACACCUGGAGACAGGCGUGAACCAGGACUGGCCAGGGGGCAAGAGGAGUGGAGACCCCACCCACAGCCCAGCUGCAUGGGCCCAAACAGACACAGGCGUUUCCUUCCCAGGCCCCUGCAAAGUGCUCAGCCCGUGAGCCCCUUGGUUUGUGGGUGAGAGUGUCCCCAGACGGGGAAGAGAGGGAGGCUUGGGAGGGAGCAGAGCUGAGGCCCGGCCCCAGCGUGGACACUGCCGGCCGCCACGCAGACAGCAUCCCAGCCCAACACUCACUGCUGGCAGGGGUGACAAUGAAAAUACUUAACCAUAUGGCAAGGGCAUCGACCAAUCAAAUAAAGGAGACAUCGUGCCAAGACGGGGCUGCAGGCCCUGAUCCGCUGGUUACUACCCCUCCAGGAGGUCCCAGGGGGAGCGGGGACAGAGGAGAGGGGCCUCAGGAGGCCCAGAGUGUCUAUGACCAACCAUUGCAGGAGCAUGUCAAUAUUCUAACCAGUACAGCGCCCUCACUCACUGCGCUGGGAUAAACCAGGAAAACACAGAGAGUCCUAAGGAUCCAUUUUUGCUGCGUAACAAACCAGCCCAAACUUGGUGGCUUACAUAAUAGCUAUUGAUUUAGAUUAUGGUCUGUGGAUCGGCCAUCUGAGCAGGGCUCAGCUGGGUGGGCCAGCUUGUCUCAGAGGGGCUCCGUCACACAUCUGUGGUCGGUCGUCAUCAGCUGGCACGGCUCCUGCACGUUGGCCGGCUGGCGGCUGGGUGCGAGGCGGCUGGGCCCCGUCGACAGCCCCCAGCGGGUGAGCCUGGGCGUGUUCACAGGGUGGAAGCUCUUCCUGGAGGGGGAGGAAGCUGCAAGACCUCUCGAGGCCUGCACACAGGACUGGGACGCGGACAAUCCUACUGCGGUCUAUUCGCCACAGCAAAGCACAGGGUCAGCCCAAGUGCGUGGGAUGGAGAAACAGACCCAGGUUCUGGUGGGAGGGGUGUUGUGGAGGGAAGAGAAGAGCCAUUUUGCGAUCUACCACAAAGUGCUGUAAACAGGUGCUGCCCCACAGCCUCCAGACUUAGCAGGGCCCCGGAGGAUGGCGGGCAGGGCCUGACUGGAGAGCUAUUCAGUUUUCAAUUUAAAACGUCGGAGGGAGCUGAGAAGAGGUGAUCCUUCCGGAUGUGUUUGCCUGGAGACCGAGAACAAAAGCUUAGGCCGGUCGAGCCGAUUUUUGUUUUGUGUAUUUGUUUUUUCUUUUAUUUAUUUAUGAAAUCAGCGGAGUCCGGGAGUGAUUUUCCUCUGUGUUUUCAAAUAAGGUUUAAAAGGCUAUGCCCUGGGCUGGGCAUUUUCUUGGCAGAGCCGCUGCACACAGCUUCGCAGACUCUGAGGGAGGAUGUAUUUAUGUUUGAUGCAGUCACAUUUGAUGGGUGUUUGGGUGAGGGUUUUUAAAUGGGAAAAAAAAGAACUGAGUGUACAAAAGAUCAGAAAGGACGUGCAUCGCAAAGGCUGAGAGAGGCACAAAGGAUGCACGGAGUCCACAUUUAUUCCUCAAGUGCAUUAAGCCCAUUAUGGCAAAAGGAAGGGAUUUUAUUGCUUUCUAUCCAACCUAAUGACACCAGAAACCCUCAACAGUGGACAAAGCCAUUUUCUUCCUUAGAUAAAAUAAAA